rnacentral:rRNA from 1 species
AUUGAACGCUGGCGGCAGGCCUAACACAUGCAAGUCGAACGGUAACAGGAAGAAGCUUGCUUCUUUGCUGACGAGUGGCGGACGGGUGAGCAAUGUCUGGGAAACUGCCUGAUGGAGGGGGAUAACUACUGGAAACGGUAGCUAAUACCGCAUAACGUCGCAAGACCAAAGAGGGGGACCUUCGGGCCUCUUGCCAUCGGACGUGCCCAGAUGGGAUUAGCUAGUUGGUGGGGUAACCGCUCACCAAGGCGACGAUCCCUAGCUGGGCUGAGAGGAUGACCAGCCACACUGGAACUGAGACACGGUCCAGACUCCUACGGGAGGCAGCAGUGGGGAAUAUUGCACAAUGGGCGCAAGCCUGAUGCAGCCAUGCCGCGUGUAUGAAGAAGGCCUUCGGGUUGUAAAGUACUUUCAGCGGGGAGGAAGGGAGUAAAGUUAAUACCUUUGCUCAUUGACGUUACCCGCAGAAGAAGCACCGGCUAACUCCGUGCCAGCAGCCGCAGUAA